rnacentral:rRNA from 1 species
AACGCGAAGAACCUUACCAGGGUUUGACAUGCACCUGACGACGUCAGAGAUGACGUUUUCUCGCAAGAGACGGGUGCACAGGUGCUGCAUGGCUGUCGUCAGCUCGUGCCGUGAGGUGUUGGGUUAAGUCCCGCAACGAGCGCAACCCUUGUCACUAGUUGCCAACACGUAAUGGUGGGCCCUCUAGUGAGACUGCCUGGGUUAACCAGGAGGAAGGUGAGGAUGACGUCAAGUCCGCAUGGCCUUUAUGCCCUGGGCUACACACGUGCUACAAUGGUACAGAAGGCGGCGAAACCGUGAGGUGGAGCAAAUCCUUAAAGCCGGCCCCAGUUCAGAUUGUAGUCUGCAACUCGACUACAUGAAGAUGGAAUUGCUAGUAAUGGCGAGUCAGCAACAUUGCCGUGAAUACGUUCCCGGGCCUUGUACACACCGCUCGUC